rnacentral:tRNA from 1 species
AGAGUGGCUCAAUGGUAGAGCAUUGCCUUCCCAAGGCAGUGGUUGCGAGUUCGAAUCUCGUCUCU